rnacentral:rRNA from 1 species
GACGAACGCUGGCGGCGUGCCUAAUACAUGCAAGUCGAGCGAGCGGAACUAACAGAUUUACUUCGGUAAUGACGUUAGGAAAGCGAGCGGCGGAUGGGUGAGUAACACGUGGGGAACCUGCCCCAUAGUCUGGGAUACCACUUGGAAACAGGUGCUAAUACCGGAUAAGAAAGCAGAUCGCAUGAUCAGCUUUUAAAAGGCGGCGUAAGCUGUCGCUAUGGGAUGGCCCCGCGGUGCAUUAGCUAGUCGGGAAGGGAAAGGCUUACCAAGGGGAUGAUGCAUAGCCGAGUUGAGAGACUGAUCGGCCACAUUGGGACUGAGACACGGCCCAAACUCCUACGGGAGGCAGCAGUAGGGAAUCUUCCACAAUGGACGCAAGUCUGAUGGAGCAACGCCCCGUGAGUGAAGAAGGGUUUCGGAUCGUAAAGCUCUGUUGUUGGUGAAGAAAGAUAGAGGUAGUAACUGGCCUUUAUUUGACGGUAAUCAACCAGAAAGUCACCGCUAACUACGUGGCACCAGCCGCGGGAAUACGUACGGGGCAAGCGGUGUCCGGAUUUAUUGGGCGUAAAGCGAGCGCAGGCGGAAGAAUAAGUCUGAUGUGAAAGCCCUCGGGUUAACCGAGGAACUGCAUCGGAAACUGUUUUUCUCGAGUGCAGAAGAGGAGAGUGGAACUCCAUGUGUAGCGGUGGAAUGCGUAGAUAUAUGGAAGAACACCAGUGGCGAAGGCGGCUCUCUGGUCUGCAACUGACGCUGAGGCUCGAAAGCAUGGGUAGCGAACAGGAUUAGAUACCCUGGUAGUCCAUGCCGUAAACGAUGAGUGCUAAGUGUUGGGAGGUUUCCGCCUCUCAGUGCUGCAGCUAACGCAUUAAGCACUCCGCCUGGGGAGUACGACCGCAAGGUUGAAACUCAAAGGAAUUGACGGGGGCCCGCACAAGCGGUGGAGCAUGUGGUUUAAUUCGAAGCAACGCGAAGAACCUUACCAGGUCUUGACAUCUAGUGCCAUUUGUAGAGAUACAAAGUUCCCUUCGGGGACGCUAAGACAGGUGGUGCAUGGCUGUCGUCAGCUCGUGUCGUGAGAUGUUGGGUUAAGUCCCGCAACGAGCGCAACCCUUGUUAUUAGUUGCCAGCAUUAAGUUGGGCACUCUAAUGAGACUGCCGGUGACAAACCGGAGGAAGGUGGGGAUGACGUCAAGUCAUCAUGCCCCUUAUGACCUGGGCUACACACGUGCUACAAUGGGCAGUACAACGAGAAGCGAGCCUGCGAAGGCAAGCGAAUCUCUGAAAGCUGUUUUCAGUUCGGACUGCAGUCUGCAACUCGACUGCACGAAGCUGGAAUCGCUAGUAAUCGCGGAUCAGCACGCCGCGGUGAAUACGUUCCCGGGCCU